GACGAACGCUGGCGGCGCGCCUCAUACAUGCAAGUCGAGCGAGAACCAGGGCUUGCCCUGGGGAGAGCGGCGAACGGGUGCGUACCACGUGAGCAACCUGCCCCGAAGACCGGGAUAACUCGAGGAAACUCGGGCUAAUACCGGAUGUCCUCGGUGGACCGCAUGGUCCGGCGAGGGAAUGGAGUCCGCUUCGGGAUGGGCUCGCGGCCUGUCAGCUUGUUGGUGGGGUAACGGCCUACCAAGGCGACGACGGGUAGCUGGUCUGAGAGGACGGGCAGCCGCACUGGGACAGAGACGCGGCCCAGACUCCUACGGGAGGCAGCAGUAGGGAAUCGUGCGAAAUGGGCGAAGGCCUGACGCAGCGAAGCCGCGGGCGGGAUGAAGGCCUUCGGGUCGUAAACCGCUUUCAGCAGGGACGAAAUUGACGGUACCUGCAGAAGAAGGCCCGGCCAACUACGUGCCAGCAGCCGCCGUAA
rnacentral:rRNA from 1 species